AUUUAAACAGCACCAAAUCACAACAACAGUCGCCUUAAGGCACUUUAUACCAUACGGUAGAACCUACAAUAACACAUACAGAGAAAAAUCCAACAACCAUAUGACCCACUAUGAGCAAGACUUUGGCGACAGUGGGAAGAAAAAACUCCCUUUUAACAGGAAGAAGCCUCCGUCAGAACCAGGCUGAGGGAGGGAGGGAGGGAGGGGGUGGCUAUCUGCCGCAACCGGUUAACAACAACACGAGAACAGCAACUUAAGUGGAAGGCUUGUAUAAUGUGGCCAGUUUUCUUGGUUCUUGGGAGAAGUUGGGAUCUAAAUUAUAUGUAAUGAUUUCUGAUUGAUACCUGGUAAAAGACUAUUACAAUAAUCUAACCAAGAAGAAAUAAAAUAUGUUAAGUGGUAUUACUGUGAAGUGGAAGUGUUUAGGGACCAUGGCAACAUGACUGCAUUAAAAUACAGAGCAGGGUUGCUGAGUGCUUAGGAACACAGACUGGAAAAGUCAAAAAACACUCUGCGGACUCAAGAUUUCCAAAUUAGCAUUAGCACAAAACCUGUGCACCAGGUUUUGGUGCAUGGGUUUCAGUGGCCAAAUAGCUCCCUGAGGUGCAAUAUGAAGGUGGCCCAGAACUUUGUGCUUAUAUGACUCAUUCUGACUCAUUUCUGCUAUCUCUGUGCAGUAGCCAUGAAAGGUCAAAUUCAGUGCAAAUUAAGAAAACACAAUCAAAUAAAAAAAAAGUGCUGCAAAAGCAAACAAAAAAAAAACAGAAUUAAAAAAAAAACAGCUCAGAAAAGGCAACAAAAGUGUUUUGGGGAAGACAACAAUGUGAGAGAACACUUCCUGAAGUCACAAGCUAAUAGCAUAUGUACCUAUGGUAUUAUAUGUAUCAUACGAUUAAUACCCAGCACUGAAUCCUCUGUUUCUUUUAACCAUGCCACAGAGCCUUGGGUUUCUUUCACUUCUGCAGCUAAUGUCUAAGUUUUGUGUGCGUUUGUAGUGUUUUUAUGUUUGCUGGUGUUUUCAUAAGUUGCAGUAAAUUUGAUUUCACCAUAUAACAGCCACGUUAAAGCCAUCAUCAAGUUGCGUAAAAUAUUUUCUGAGACCUCCAAAAGUUGAUUCUGUUCAUCUGGACGUAGCGUUUUGUGGGAUAAAUGUUUCGUCACUCAUCCAAGUGACUUCUUCAGUCUCAGCUGACUGCAGGUUUCC
ensembl:lncRNA